rnacentral:rRNA from 1 species
GACAGAGGGUGCAAACGUUGUUCGGAAUUACUGGGCGUAAAGCGCGUGUAGGCGGCUAAGUAAGUCGGGCGUGAAAUCCCACGGCUCAACCGUGGAAGUGCACUCGAAACUGCAUAGCUAGAGUCCUGGAGAGGAAGGUGGAAUGCUUGGUGUAGAGGUGAAAUUCGUAGAUAUCAAGCCGGAACACCGGUGGCGAAGGCGGCCUUCUGGACAGUGACUGACGCUGAGACGGCGAAAAGCGUGGGGAGGCAAACAGG